rnacentral:rRNA from 11 species
AGCCUUAAGAAUUAUUUAAGGUGAGACCUGCCCAGUGCUAAUUUGUAAAUGGCCGCAGUACCUUGACUGUGCUAAGGUAGCAUAAUCAGUUGGCUUUUAAAUGGAGUCGGGAAUGAAUGGAUUAAUGGGGUAAAGCUGUCUCUUUUAUAUUAACUUGAAUUUUCUUAUUAGGUGAAAAUGCCUAAAUUUAGAAAAAAGACGAGAAGACCCUAGGAGUUUUUAUCAAGAGCUAAAGUGUAGCUUACAUUUUUGUUGGGGCGACGCAGGAGAAAAUCAAACCUCCUUUAAUAAAUUUGCCGACUUAGUAUGACAAUUUAAACUACCCUAGGGAUAACAGCGUAAUUCUUUUGAGCUUGCGACCUCGAUGUUGGACUAGGAAUUUGGUGGGCUAGCCGCCUACUUAUAUUGUUCUGUUCGAACUAUUUUUCCU